AAUCCCCUUUCAUCUUUGCACCUACCUGGACUCAGGGCCAAUUGAAAAAGAGAUGGGUUCAAAGAUUAACCAUUAUGACGGUUGGAACAAAGAGCUUGCUUUCACCUUCACUCCAAGGAGGUGUUUCCUGCCGGCAGUGCUCCCUCACCCCAUCACUGCCAGCCCUUUCUGCUCCUUCCAUCCCUCUGUGACUCUCUUGCCUUCCAGAGGUGGAGGAACAGCAGCCCUGUGGAACAGAGAAGUGAAACAUCGCGCUCUCAGCAAGACGCAGAGCAAGCAAUAGACUUUUAUAAGGGGUAACAGGACAGCAGAGCACCAUGGCUCAACAAGCUUCACAAAUUAUCUGCAACUUCUCCAAAGGUUGGUCUUCGCCAUUCAUUGUACACACAGUUCUGGCAGCCUUUAGUAUCAGCAUGACACUGGUGAUAUACUGUAAUAUCAGGAAGCUGAAACAGAAAGUUGACUCCAGAACUAUGGAAGAAGGACUACUAGAACAGAUGAGAGGUGAGUGCUGCUUGCUGUGUGGGUGGCUGCUUGUCCCUCGAGCUCCGGCUGGGAAUGGGGAGUGCUCUGUGUCCCUGGUGCGGCCUGCCUCCCUUCAAGCCUCAAACAGAGCCUGCUGCUUGCCUCCCUCUCUGCCCUGGGCCCUCCUUCCCCCA
rnacentral:lncRNA from 1 species